AUUUGAGGGUGAUCUGCCUAUGACAUCUGUCACCCCACUUAUUGACUGCCAAGGUUGAUUCAGCUGAUCAUGUUGGCUAGUGGGGUGUCCCUCAUCCCCUUAUAGUUCCAUGUGAGCCCACCACCACCACCACAGGUACACACUUAGUUGAAGAAGACAGAACCUCCACAGAAGCUCUCAAAGGCUCCUUACCUGAUCCUGCAGCAAGUUUUCCAAGAGCUUCCUGCCAGGCUUCUCACUUUUUUGACAGCCAAGAAAGUCUAUGUUCUUCUGUUUGUCCAG
rnacentral:snRNA from 1 species